AGAAGGGGCUUCCGGGACGCCGUUUCGGGGGCCUUUUCUUUUGC
rnacentral:antisense_RNA from 1 species